rnacentral:rRNA from 1 species
AUGCAAGUCGAACGAUGAAGGGGAGCUUGCUCCCUGGAUUAGUGGCGAACGGGUGAGUAACACGUGAGUAACCUGCCCUGGACUCUGGGAUAACCCCGAGAAAUCGGAGCUAAUACCGGAUAGGACCCUUUUCCGCAUGGUUUUGGGUGGAAAGUUUUUCGGUCUGGGAUGGACUCGCGGCCUAUCAGCUUGUUGGUGAGGUAAUGGCUCACCAAGGCGUCGACGGGUAGCCGGCCUGAGAGGGUGACCGGCCACACUGGGACUGAGACACGGCCCAGACUCCUACGGGAGGCAGCAGUGGGGAAUAUUGCACAAUGGGCGCAAGCCUGAUGCAGCAACGCCGCGUGCGGGAUGACGGCCUUCGGGUUGUAAACCGCUUUUAGUAAGGAAGAAGGGGAGCGUGAGCUUCUUGACGGUACUUGCAGAAAAAGGACCGGCUAACUACGUGCCAGCAGCCGCGGUAAUACGUAGGGUCCGAGCGUUGUCCGGAAUUAUUGGGCGUAAAGAGCUCGUAGGCGGUUUGUCGCGUCUGCUGUGAAAUCCCGAGGCUCAACCUCGGGUCUGCAGUGGGUACGGGCAGACUGGAGUGCGGUAGGGGAGAAUGGAAUUCCUGGUGUAGCGGUGGAAUGCGCAGAUAUCAGGAGGAACACCGAUGGCGAAGGCAGUUCUCUGGGCCGUAACUGACGCUGAGGAGCGAAAGCGUGGGGAGCGAACAGGAUUAGAUACCCUGGUAGUCCACGCCGUAAACGUUGGGCGCUAGAUGUGGGGACCUUUCCACGGUUUCCGUGUCGUAGCUAACGCAUUAAGCGCCCCGCCUGGGGAGUACGGCCGCAAGGCUAAAACUCAAAGGAAUUGACGGGGGCCCGCACAAGCGGCGGAGCAUGCGGAUUAAUUCGAUGCAACGCGAAGAACCUUACCAAGGCUUGACAUGACCGAGAACGCCGCAGAAAUGUGGAACUCUUUGGACACUCGGUUACAGGUGGUGCAUGGUUGUCGUCAGCUCGUGUCGUG